CACGACUGCCGCGUCUGCCAUGCUCCAAUCAUCAUCGCACACCGUUCCCCAGCUGCCCUGGUAGUAGAUCUCCACCCGGCCCUGGCACCGGUCCGAAGUCCCAGCCAAACGUAUGGCACCAUCUCCUACAGCAGAGGAAGUCCACGUUGUCCAGCAGGAUUGGGCCGGAGCCCUGGCCGAACUUGGAGCUGCUCCCCACGGCCACGGCCACUCCGCAGUCCAGCUGCCGGCACACCACGUUAGAGUCCACCAUGUCCCAGUCGUCGUCGCACACUGUCCCCCACGUGCCGUUAUGAAGCACCUCCACGCGGCCCUCACACUGGUUUCUGCCGUUCAUCAGCCGCACUUGAGGAAGAAGAACAGCAGGCCGGUGAGGAUCCAGACAGCAGAUCUCCAACAUCUGCGCACACCGUCUGACACACGCUGACCUUUCAUGGCAGAACAGAUCCACCUGAACUCCUGCAGAACAUACAAACACCUUCAGUGCCUCAAAAACAAUCAGGAACCUGCAGAAACAUCUAAACAACCACAGCUAAACCUCCAUCCAACAGCAACAGAAAUCACGUCACCCGCCGAGAAUCACAUCCACUUCCCAUUCACAUGCAGUUUCUGAUCUGCUAAAACCCUGUCUCUCACAAAGCUUAUUGUGCAGCCAAUUAGCUGCUGAGAACAUUUUAUAACCCAAAUCGCUGCAAGCCUGCAGACAAAAUGGUGUGGUUGUGAGGGCCUGAAAAUUAAUCUAGCCACCAAUAUUAUGUUUUUCAAUACUCCAUUCAUGGCUGGAUGCAGCAUGGAUCCACGAGGGAAUAAUGUUGCCUUUUGUGUCGCCUGUGUUUCCCCUCCCUCUCCUUCUCACACUGACAGAUCUCAGGAGCUCGCGAAAAUACCCCCUUAAAGUCAGCGAUAAACCGGGAGAGAACUCGCUUUUGAGUUCAGACUUGAUUUUUAAAAAAAUUCAGAUUCAGUUAAAUUUUGCAUUUUUAAAUUUCUGAUGGAAUUUUUUUUUCUCCUCUAAAUAUCAAAACACAGAAGUGCAACAGGUGAACCUUAAAGUCUAAAAGAUCAACAAUUAAAAGAACUUACUUCUGAGAAAUAAUAAUACAUAGCAAUUAAUAACUACUUCCAUAAUUGUUGCAGAAAAUUAGAAAAAAUAUAUGCUAUUUAUUAUUUUAAUUUUGCAUAACGCAUAAUUUAAAAAAAAGAAAAGAAAAUCAAUAAUUCUUCAUUUUCUCAAUGCAACGCAUUUCCUGUAAAAUGACGCCCUAUAAUGAGAAUGACACAUAAACAUACCUUUGAUGAAAAGCAAUUUUCUUCACAAGCAAAAUUAAGUUUUUUUUCACAAAAAAAGCAACAGUCCACUGUGAAUUCAGAUGGCUUGUAGCUCACAGGACACUUCUUCAACUAAGAGUUAAAGCUUAGCUGGGAAAAGAAAAAAGUGCAUCCGGCUGAAGAGCAACGAGGUCUUUCAUCUCACUAACCUUGUGAGUCUAUAAGUACCUGGCUGCUCUAGUACGUAUUAUGUAAAAAAAAAAAAAAAAAAAAAAUCCAACAGCAUUGUAUGUUAAUGCCCUGACACCUCGUCCCUGCCUGGUUUAUGUGAAUGAAGAGGGAAAAGGGAGGAGGAAAGAAGACAGAAA